GACGAUCGCUGGCGGCGUGCCUAAUACAUGCAAGUCGAACGCAGUGGGGACGGGUGAGUAACACGUGGGUAACCUCCCAUCAGAGGUGAUAACAUUUGGAAACCGGUGCUAAACCGAUACUGAUGGAUGGACCCGCGGUGCAUUAGCUAGUUGGUGAGGUAACGGCUCACCAAGGCCACGAUGCAUACCCGGCCUGGGGGGGGGAGCGGGCACACUGGGACUGAGACACGGCCCAGACUCCUACGGGAGGCAGCAGUAGGGAAUCUUCGGCAAGGGACGAAAGUCUGACCGAGCAACGCCGCGGGAGUGAAGAAGGUUUUCGGAUCGUAAAGCUCUGUUGUUAGAGAAGCGGUAACUAACCAGAAAGGGACGGCUAACUACGUGCCAGCCGCCGCGGUAAUAC
rnacentral:rRNA from 1 species